UACGUAGGGGGCGAGCGUUGUCCGGAUUUAUUGGGCGUAAAGAGCUCGUAGGCGGUUUGGUAAGUUGGAUGUGAAAUCUCCAGGCUCAACUUGGAGGGGUCAUUCGAUACUGCCAUGACUAGAGUUCGGUAGGGGAGUGUGGAAUUCCCGGUGUAGCGGUGAAAUGCGUAGAUAUCGGGAAGAACACCCGUGGCGAAGGCGGCUCACUGGCCCGGUACUGACGCUGAGGUGCGAAAGCGUGGGGAGCAAACAGG
rnacentral:rRNA from 1 species